CCCAUCCUCCAGGGGCCGGCGGAGGAAGUCAAUGUCGCCGGGGCAUCCAGAAUGGCCAUCGUGGGAGGCGAUGUUCUCGAGGUCUUUGAAGGAUCACCUGACCUGUAGUGGUGCAGCUUCUCAGAGGAUGGAGACAAUGCUGCAGGUGAGAACGGUGAGAACAAAUAUCAGCUGCUGUCCGACUUGUCGACAUCUCCCCAAACCUCCUGAAGAUGUUAAAGGACAUGAAGGAGAUAUCAGUUCCAAUGCCACU